rnacentral:rRNA from 1 species
GACAGAGGUGCCAAGCGUUAGGCGGAAUCACUGGGCUUAAAGCGUGUGUAGGCGGAUUGGUAAGUACCUUGUGAAAUCUCACGGCUCAACCGUGGAACUGCUUGGUAUACUGCUUAUCUUGAGCCACUUAGGGGCUACCGGAACAAAUGGUGGAGCGGUGAAAUGCGUAGAUAUGCGGAGGAACACCGAUGGCGAAGGCAAUCCCCUGGGCCUGCACUGACGCUCAUGCACGAAAGCGUGGGGAGCAAACAGG